AAUGCCUGCUGGGGGAGUUCGCAAGAACUGAGAUGAGACUGACGGUCUCAGACCCUUAAGACCUGAUCCGGGUAAUACCGGCGUAGGGAAGCGGUGUCACGACAAU
rnacentral:ncRNA from 2 species